GCCCAGGUGGCGGAAUUGGUAGACGCGCUAGUUUCAGGUGCUAGUCCGGUCAAACGGGUGGGGGUUCGAGUCCCUUCCUGGGCACCA
rnacentral:tRNA from 1 species